GGACAGGUGGCAGAGUGGUCGAAUGCGCCGGACUCGAAAUCCGGUAUACGUGCAAGCGUAUCGUGAGUUCGAAUCUCACCCUGUCCG
rnacentral:tRNA from 1 species